GUCCGGAAUGCCAGGCCAGGAGGAGUACACUAAAAGUGAAAACAGCCUACAUCCCAAUUGAGGUAGAUGAAAAUACAAACCUACUUUCCAACAGAAUGAGGAUUUCUUAAUAUCAUGUGUAUUUUCAUUUAGGUGACCGAGCCACUGGAGCUGGUGGGGAUGGACCUUGUUGGAAAACUGAUUAGGACCAAAAAUGGCAAUCAGUACAUUUGUGUGAUGAUUGAUUAUUUUACCAAAUGGACGGAGGCUUAUCCCCUGCAGUCGAAAUCAGCAGCUGAGGUUACAAAUUGCGUGUUGGAUUUUUUCUAUAAAUUUGGAGCACCCAAACGGUUGUUAACAGACCAGGGUAAAGAGUUUGUAAACCAGGUAAGUGUGAGUGAGUGAGUGAGUGAGUGAGUGAGUGAGUGAGUGCAUUUCAUGUUGUAUUUUUUUCUGGCAGGUCAACUACAGUGUCCGCAACUCGCUGGGGAUAAAAAGGAGCCUUUGUGCCCCCUAUCAUCCCCAAACAAAUGGCUUGGUGGAGAAGGUGAAUGGC